GGGGCCUGGCGGUGGGCGG
rnacentral:miRNA from 1 species